AAAGGAUGUGGGAUUGCACAGACAACCAGGAUGUUGGCUUAGAAGCAGCCACUCAUUCAAAGAGUGCGUAAUAGCUCACUGGUCGAGUGAUCCUGCGCCGAAGAUUUCCGGGGCUAAAACUUACUACCGAAGCUACGGCAUCAUGAUGAUGGGUAGGGGAGCUUCCCAUACGGGUUGAAGCAUGACCGUAAGGACAUGUGGACAGUAUGGGAGUGAGAAUGUUGGCAUGAGUAGCGAGAUGUGGGUGAGAAUCCCACAGGCCGUAAACCCAAGGUUUCCAGGGGAAGGUUCGUCCGC
rnacentral:rRNA from 1 species